AGACUCCUACGGGAGGCAGCAGUGAGGAAUAUUGCGCAAUGGGGGAAACCCUGACGCAGCAACGCCGCGUGUGGGAAGAAGGCCUUCGGGUCGUAAACCACUUUUGCACGGGACGAAAAAGGGAUAUCGAACAAAUAUCCCCGAUGACGGUACCGUGAGAAUAAGCCACGGCUAACUCUGUGCCAGCAGCCGCGGUAAGACAGAGGUGGCAAGCGUUGUUCGGAAUUACUGGGCGUAAAGAGUCUGUAGGUGGUUUGUCAAGUCUUUGGUGAAAGGCCGUAGCUUAACUAUGGGAAUGCCAAAGAGACUGGCAGGCUGGAGGCUGGGAGAGGGAAGCGGAAUUUCUGGUGUAGCGGUGAAAUGCGUAGAUAUCAGAAGGAAGGCCGGUGGCGAAGGCGGCUUCCUGGAACAGUCCUGACACUGAG
rnacentral:rRNA from 1 species